CGCUGGCGGCGUGCUUAACACAUGCAAGUCGAACGAGAAUCACUGGAAGGAGUUUCGGACAACGGAAGGUGAGGACAGUGGCGGACGGGUGAGUAACGCGUGAGGAACCUGCCUUUCAGAGGGGGACAACAGUUGGAAACGACUGCUAAUACCGCAUAACGCGUAGGAGUCGCAUGGCUCUUACGCCAAAGAUUUAUCGCUGAAAGAUGGCCUCGCGUCUGAUUAGCUGGUUGGCGGGGUAACGGCCCACCAAGGCGACGAUCAGUAGCCGGACUGAGAGGUUGAACGGCCACAUUGGGACUGAGAUACGGCCCAGACUCCUACGGGAGGCAGCAGUGGGGAAUAUUGGGCAAUGGGCGCAAAGCCUGACCCAGCAACGCCGCGUGAAGGAAGAAGGCUUUCGGGUUGUAAACUUCUUUUGUUAGGGACGAGGAGAAGACGGUACCUGACGAAUAAGCCACGGCUAACUACGUGCCAGCAGCGGC
rnacentral:rRNA from 1 species